CUAUAAUUGCCUGUUGCUGCAGUUUUGAAACUUCAGUCUCAAACUCUUUGGUCAUAAAACUCAAAGCCUUCUCCAAGUUUACCACCUUCUUUCGAAGAACUUGGAUUUGUGUUCUCUGCUGGGUGUUAUGCCAGAUUCGUGGGACCCCAGUAGACCUCCAGGAGCCGAAUCCGAUGCAAGCACACAAGAGACUUUAUUGCAAGCUCGAGCCUGGACUCACAACCGUUCCCGACACAGCGGUCCCAGGGAGUGAGUCCUGGUCCUUUGUUCAGUGAGAUUUUAUAGGUUUUGGGGGGAUACUCUAUGCAUCACAACAUCACACAGCAAAUCAUUCCAUACCGCAGGAAAAUCAAACAACAACUCUCAACAUUGAUUAGCACAUUCAAUGGCGGGAACAAGUUGGUUAGGGGUGAUUGGCUAGUACAAGAAGGGGGUUCCUUUGAACUGAUUGGUUUAGGCCACGAGGGGUGUACGUGCUAAACUACAUGGUUUCCCAACAUGUUAUCAACCACCAUAAACUACUUGGGGGUCAUCUGGCAUCCCAGGUAUUUUCCCUGUCUCAUGCUGAUUGGAGGUUGCUAGGGGGGUUGCCAUGGGUCCUCACCUAGCCUGACUGAGUCAGGGACACCUGGCACCGCAGACCUCUCCUGUUAUUUACAGACAAACAACUCAGCAGGGUGGGUAUGUGCUUAGGAGUGCUCUGUGGGUUUUUCCAAGGACAAGGGUCACAACCCCUUCCUUAGGACAGGCUUGAGGUAGAAGCUGCUGUUAUUUGUUUAUUUUUUUUAAAUGGAGUCACAUUAGUUUCUCACAGGUAUGUGCCAUGGCAUCUGGCUCACAAAAUUAAAAAGCUCUUGUGAAAUUGAAGCUGAGUUUACCCCAUAAUUUAAAAUCUUACUUCCUCGGAUCUAGUCUAAAGAAUCCCCCACAUGUGGUCUCAGGCAGACAUAUACAGGAAUGUUCAUUGUAACAGUGAUGUUUAUUAUAACAGUGAAAAAAAUGGGAGUUUAACUGACCAAUGGGGGAUAAACAUAAAUCUUGGUUUAUUUAAUAGAAUAUUAUAAAGCAGUUAAAAUGAAUGAAAAAAAUAGAAUAUACCUAUUAAUAAAUUUUAAGAAAAUAAA